CCUAAAAUCAUCACAUCCCACGGCAGAUCACCAAUAAUAAAUUCCUCAAUAUUUUAAAACUUGCUACAUCAGCACGGGUGAGCCCCCUGAGCUGGGCCGCCCCCCUCAUCCAUGGUUGCCACCGCCGCCGCUCCGGUUCCCCGUCCUCCUGCUGCUCUGCGCUGCCUUCUCCUUCCACGGUAAGCACGCUCGAGCCACCUACCUAUGUCCUCCACUGUGUCGUCUUGAUAGCGGAAGGCUGGAGCUAUGGCAAACUGAGCUGAGCUGGAAGCUCAUGUUUUUCCAGUUUUUUCCUUCUUGCAUCGGCGCACGGGGUGAGCGGCGGCGGUGGCCACGGGCUCGGCAUCAACUAGGGUGGCAGACGACAUCCCCUCGCUGCGGCGGUCCGUGGAGCUGCUACACGCGACGAGCGCCGGCUCCGUCAAGAUCUACGACGCCAACUGCUUUCCGUGACGGCACGCACGACCGCUCUGGAUCGUCUGUAAAUCCAUCCCGACCAUCUCGUGGACCUCUCCGCCUUGUCACAAAGCUAGAAAGCAUGUUGCUCUGCAAGUAUCCUUCCAGGAGGCAGUGCACGGUAGCUCUGAACAACUGAAAC
rnacentral:lncRNA from 1 species